ACUCUUUUAUUCAAUUUUUUUUAUAAAUAAUAAAAAUAAAAAUAAAAAUAAACACAAAAAAAAACGUUUAUAAUUUUAUUCGCCGGCAGACGAACACAAGAGUUCCCUAAUAUAAUAUAAUUAUUAUUGAAAAACAUAAAUAAAAUGGCAACCCUAAUUAUUUCCUAUCUUAUUGGUGUGUUAUCUGAAACCCAACACUUC
rnacentral:lncRNA from 1 species